rnacentral:rRNA from 1 species
AACGAACGCUGGCGGCGCGUCUUAACCAUGCAAGUCGAGCGGCAGGCCGCAAUGCCGAGAGCGGCGGACUGGUGAGUAACACGUGGAUAACGUACCCCGAUGUCCGGGACAGCCUGUAGAAAUAGAGGGUAAUACCGGAUAGAUCACUGUUUACGUGAGGUAGACAGCGGGAAAGGAGCUUCGGCUCCGCGACGGGAUCGGUCUGCGGCCCAUCAGCUGGACGGCGGGGUAAAGGCCCGCCGUGGCGAGGACGGGUAUCCGGCCUGAGAGGGCGGACGGACACAUUGGGACUGAGAUACGGCCCAGACUCCUACGGGAGGCAGCAGGUAAGAAUAUUCCGCAAUGGGGGGAACCCUGACGGAGCGACGCCGCGUGAACGAAGAAGGCCGGAAGGUUGUAAAGUUCUUUUCUGUCCGAGGAUUAAGUUUCGGAGGAAAUGCCGGGACGGUGACGGUAGGGCAGGAAUAAGCACCGGCUAAUUACGUG